UGGGAUCAGCAGGACUGAAACAAUUAAGAACCAGUAUGCUCUUAAGGUCUCUUUCCUGAGGAAGAAAACUUGGAGGCUACAUGGCUCCAGGGUGGAGGAGAGCUACCCAACCGCCAUCAAGACUGGGAACCUGCACUUUGAAUACAGCGCUCAAUGCUAAACAGCUUGCAGUUGGAUGAGGGAGGAUAUCAUGGGAGCUGGACUUUCUCUGAAGACUCGCUGUCUGGGGAUGCGCAGCAUGCGGUGAUGUUGUUCUCACAGAUGCUGUGCGAGCACUUUUAA